rnacentral:rRNA from 1 species
UAAACAUAGACAGUUCACAUACCCCACUGUCCGCCCGGGAACUACGAGCAUCAGCUUAAAACCCAAAGGACUUGGCGGUGCUUUACACCCACCUAGAGGAGCCUGUUCUAGAACCGAUAAUCCCCGUUCAACCUCACCCUUCCUUGUUCUUUCCGCCUAUAUACCGCCGUCGUCAGUUUACCCUAUGAAGGCCUAAUAGUAAGCAAAAUCGGUACAACCCAAAACGUCAGGUCGAGGUGUAGCGUAUGGAAGGGGAAGAAAUGGGCUACAUUCCCUAUUAUAGGGUAUACGAAUGAUUUCGCUGAAAUGCAUUUCUGAAGGAGGAUUUAGCAGUAAGCAGGAAGUAGAGUGUCUUGCUGAAACCGGC